rnacentral:lncRNA from 1 species
GUAAAGAAUGAUAGCUGGAAAGUGAGGUUUCCAUAUUCAGAAAGAAAUAUCUCGUGUCCUCGUAUUGCAGAUUUUUUUUUUCCCUUUUUCAAUAACCUCUUCACAUCUUCUUCACCUUUAUCUUACAGGUUUUCAGCGGUUGUGUGAAAAUCAGCUCAGAACCUGUUUGUUUCUUCCUGUGGGUGCUCUCAGUGUUUCAAGCCCAGGGCCUCCAAGGAGUGGCAAGGCAAUGCCAGAGCGAUGAAGGCUUGUGAUUCAACCUGCCGGUGUGUGAAAGAUCCAAAGAGAUGAAAAAUGUUUCUUCCUUUCAGAAAUGCUGAUGUUCUUCAGGCGUAUUGAAGUGGAGCUGUACUCUAUCCAGACACUGAACAGAACCUGGAAAUGACGAUGAUAGUGAUUAAAAGGAAUGUCUCAGAUGGAAGCAAGUGUACCAGCAGUCCUGAGUGACACCUUUGGGUCAAUUUCCUGGCAUAGAUCAAUAUAAGCAUAGCACUUUAUGUGCAUUUUUGCUGUUUCGUUUUGUUUUUUUUUUUUUUUGCCAUCUUCAACAUACCCCAAAUAUCCCAAUUUCUGCCAUUACAAUUCUUUAUAAACUUGCAAAUUCAUAAAUCCUGAAGCCAAAAAUUGUUUGCUUAGUCUCAGAAGAUGGCACGUAUGUCCUGGAAAUUUGCAUUUUAGAACGGAAUUAAAUUGAAAAGCUCUGGGAAGCUGUAUGGACCUGUCGAUUUCCAUCACAAAUUAGAAAGAGA